UUUUAUAAAUCGUUGGGGCGCACCUGUGCGUUAAACGGAAAACAAUAACUGAUAAGCAAUUGUCAGAUUUUCAAGAAGCUAGCUUGGCAAGAUCAUAUGCAAAUAUGAACUUUGCUUACGUUAACUGAUUGAACUCUCUUUAGAUUUCUUCCGAUUCAAUCUAUCUGAGGGAUAAACCAAUCGGAAUAAGGUCUUAAAAAGUAACCAGUUGUAUUUAAGAUCGACAAGCUUAAUUGGCUUCUUGGUCCGAUUUGAUUAUUUAAGCGGCCAAGACAGAGUAAAAAUAAUCUAACCCCAACUAAACAUUUAUAUCGGUGUUUUCUCGGACGCGGGUUCAAUUCCCGCCAUCUCCACAC
rnacentral:tmRNA from 1 species